GAAGAGAAGAACAGAGGACAUCUUUUCAGUGAACAGGAUACCUGGGUUUCUUUCCGUUGUGACGCUUUAUUUAGGAGACAUUAAAUAUGAAAACAGGACAUGGCUUGUUAACCACUCACUAUGCCUUUUGCUCAAGGCAGAGAUAUGGUGGUAAGCCACAGGUUAGAUGGGGUUUCUCAGGCAAAGCUCCUCUCUCAAUUUCCCGGUUACUUUGAGCUGGUGAAGGAAGAUCACGGUUUCCACAUCUCUUUUAAAGUAAUUGCAUCACAUUCAAGACAGCAUUAUUUCUCCUCAAGUCCUCUUAUCAGUUGCUCCUAAAGGAUACCAGAGCAGUUAUUUCAGCAUCUCUCCUCACUGGCCAAACAUCCAAGCAUUUGCCUCAUCUGCGAAAUCUUCACUAGGACACAUCCUAGAAGGCCAUGCGAGGAGAGCGGCUUUUGGUUCUAUUUUCUACUGUCUGCUUCUUAGCUGAAGUCAUGAUGGACCAGUCACUUUUGGAAAUUCAUGGAGCCCUGAAUACUUCAGUGCUUCUCCCUGGACAGGAUAUUGCUCUAUCUUCUGUCUUCAAUGUGGAAUGGAGAAUCAAGCAGUCCCAAGAGGUGUUGAUCCUGUCCUUCUCUCCCUCAUCCAAGAACUUCUACACUAAUGAAGCUUACUGGCAGCGAAUCUUCUUCUCUCCCACCAACUUCUCCCUCCAGUUUCACAGUUUGCAGUGCACAGAUGAAGGAUUCUAUACCUUGGCCAUCCAGCUCCAAGAGAAGUUCCAAGUGAACAACUACAGGACUUGGCUGACAGUGAGCAUCCCGAUUUCCACUGUGCUCAUCACAGCCAGUGCGAUGUCUCCGAGGGUUGGGGCCAACAUCACCCUGAAUUGCUCGGCAGCAACAGGGAGCCCCGUGAUCUACUCUUGGCAGAGGCUCGACCAAGCAUUGCUUCCUGGGAAUCGUUCCAUCCUGUCCCAGGACAACUCCACCCUGACCCUUCUAGACGUCCAGCUGUAUGAUGAGGGGAACUAUCGGUGCCUGGCAGAGAACGCCAUCAGUGUGGAGUUUGAAGACUUCACCUUACAGCUGAAUGGUUCUUCUUCUUGCCCAACUUCCAGCUAUGUUGGCUACUUUGGAUACCCUGGCUACCUUGGCUACAUUCUGCUCAUAGUCUGUCUCUUCAGGAUGGCAAAAAAAAUCAACACCAGGUUUUUGGCAACCCAGACAGAGUCUACUUAUGAAAACAUGCGUUCAACUCAGCCACCCCUUUAA
rnacentral:lncRNA from 1 species